rnacentral:rRNA from 2 species
UUAAGCGACUAAGCGUACACGGUGGAUGCCCUGGCAGUCAGAGGCGAUGAAGGACGUGCUAAUCUGCGAAAAGCGUCGGUAAGGUGAUAUGAACCGUUAUAACCGGCGAUGUCCGAAUGGGGAAACCCAGUGUGAUUCGUCACACUAUCGUUAACUGAAUACAUAGGUUAACGAGGCGAACCGGGGGAACUGAAACAUCUAAGUACCCCGAGGAAAAGAAAUCAACCGAGAUUCCCCCAGUAGCGGCGAGCGAACGGGGAGCAGCCCAGAGUCUGAAUCAGCUUGUGUGUUAGUGGAACGGUCUGGAAAGUCCGACGGUACAGGGUGAUAGUCCCGUACACCAAAAUGCACAGGCUGUGAACUCGAAGAGUAGGGCGGGACACGUGGUAUCCUGUCUGAAUAUGGGGGGACCAUCCUCCAAGGCUAAAUACUCCUGACUGACCGAUAGUGAACCAGUACCGUGAGGGAAAGGCGAAAAGAACCCCGGCGAGGGGAGUGAAAAAGAACCUGAAACCGUGUACGUACAAGCAGUGGGAGCACCUUCGGGUGUGACUGCGUACCUUUUGUAUAAUGGGUCAGCGACUUAUAUUCUGUAGCAAGGUUAACCGUAUAGGGGAGCCGCAGGGAAACCGAGUCUUAACUGGGCGUUAAGUUGCAGGGUAUAGACCCGAAACCCGGUGAUCUAGCCAUGGGCAGGUUGAAGGUUGGGUAACACUAACUGGAGGACCGAACCGACUAAUGUUGAAAAAUUAGCGGAUGACUUGUGGCUGGGGGUGAAAGGCCAAUCAAACCGGGAGAUAGCUGGUUCUCCCCGAAAGCUAUUUAGGUAGCGCCUCGUGAAUUCAUCUUCGGGGGUAGAGCACUGUUUCGGCUAGGGGGUCAUCCCGACUUACCAACCCGAUGCAAACUACGAAUACCGAAGAAUGUUAUCACGGGAGACACACGGCGGGUGCUAACGUCCGUCGUGAAGAGGGAAACAACCCAGACCGCCAGCUAAGGUCCCAAAGUCAUGGUUAAGUGGGAAACGAUGUGGGAAGGCACAGACAGCCAGGAUGUUGGCUUAGAAGCAGCCAUCAUUUAAAGAAAGCGUAAUAGCUCACUGGUCGAGUCGGCCUGCGCGGAAGAUGUAACGGGGCUAAACCAUGCACCGAAGCUGCGGCAGCGACACUAUGUGUUGUUGGGUAGGGGAGCGUUCUGUAAGCCUGCGAAGGUGACCUGUGAGGGUUGCUGGAGGUAUCAGAAGUGCGAAUGCUGACAUAAGUAACGAUAAAGCGGGUGAAAAGCCCGCUCGCCGGAAGACCAAGGGUUCCUGUCCAACGUUAAUCGGGGCAGGGUGAGUCGACCCCUAAGGCGAGGCCGAAAGGCGUAGUCGAUGGGAAACAGGUUAAUAUUCCUGUACUUGGUGUUACUGCGAAGGGGGGACGGAGAAGGCUAUGUUAGCCGGGCGACGGUUGUCCCGGUUUAAGCAUGUAGGCUGGUUGUCCAGGCAAAUCCGGAUAAUCAAGGCUGAGGUGUGAUGACGAGGCACUACGGUGCUGAAGUAACAAAUGCCCUGCUUCCAGGAAAAGCCUCUAAGCAUCAGGUAACAUCAAAUCGUACCCCAAACCGACACAGGUGGUCAGGUAGAGAAUACCAAGGCGCUUGAGAGAACUCGGGUGAAGGAACUAGGCAAAAUGGUGCCGUAACUUCGGGAGAAGGCACGCUGGUGUGUAGGUGAAGUCCCUGCGGAUGGAGCUGAGACCAGUCGAAGAUACCAGCUGGCUGCAACUGUUUAUUAAAAACACAGCACUGUGCAAACACGAAAGUGGACGUAUACGGUGUGACGCCUGCCCGGUGCCGGAAGGUUAAUUGAUGGGGUUAUCCGUAAGGAGAAGCUCUUGAUCGAAGCCCCGGUAAACGGCGGCCGUAACUAUAACGGUCCUAAGGUAGCGAAAUUCCUUGUCGGGUAAGUUCCGACCUGCACGAAUGGCGUAAUGAUGGCCAGGCUGUCUCCACCCGAGACUCAGUGAAAUUGAACUCGCUGUGAAGAUGCAGUGUACCCGCGGCAAGACGGAAAGACCCCGUGAACCUUUACUAUAGCUUGACACUGAACAUUGAGCCUUGAUGUGUAGGAUAGGUGGGAGGCUUUGAAGCGUGGACGCCAGUCUGCGUGGAGCCAACCUUGAAAUACCACCCUUUAAUGUUUGAUGUUCUAACGUUGGCCCCUGACCGGGGUUGCGGACAGUGUCUGGUGGGUAGUUUGACUGGGGCGGUCUCCUCCCAAAGCGUAACGGAGGAGCACGAAGGUUAGCUAAUCCUGGUCGGACAUCAGGAGGUUAGUGCAAUGGCAUAAGCUAGCUUGACUGCGAGCGUGACGGCGCGAGCAGGUGCGAAAGCAGGUCAUAGUGAUCCGGUGGUUCUGAAUGGAAGGGCCAUCGCUCAACGGAUAAAAGGUACUCCGGGGAUAACAGGCUGAUACCGCCCAAGAGUUCAUAUCGACGGCGGUGUUUGGCACCUCGAUGUCGGCUCAUCACAUCCUGGGGCUGAAGUAGGUCCCAAGGGUAUGGCUGUUCGCCAUUUAAAGUGGUACGCGAGCUGGGUUUAGAACGUCGUGAGACAGUUCGGUCCCUAUCUGCCGUGGGCGCUGGAGAAUUGAGGGGGGCUGCUCCUAGUACGAGAGGACCGGAGUGGACGCAUCACUGGUGUUCGGGUUGUCAUGCCAAUGGCACUGCCCGGUAGCUAAAUGCGGAAGAGAUAAGUGCUGAAAGCAUCUAAGCACGAAACUUGCCCCGAGAUGAGUUCUCCCUGAGACUUUAAGUCUCCUGAAGGAACGUUGAAGACGACGACGUUGAUAGGCCGGGUGUGUAAGCGCAGCGAUGCGUUGAGCUAACCGGUACUAAUGAACCGUGAGGCUUAACCUU